rnacentral:lncRNA from 1 species
AAAAAAACCAACCCAAAAAACAAAACACAACCCCCAAAAAUUUCGGGGGUGCGCGGGCCGAGAGGGGCGUGUAAGUUUCGUCCCCCGCCGCCCCUGCGCCAGGGGCUUGCCCGAAGGAAGAGAGGGAGGGGACAUCGGAACCCCCAGGUCCGGUAAGCCCUCGAAAGCCAGGAAACGGGGGAUUCCCUUGCCACCCCCAGCCCCUGCCCUGCCCCAGAUGAUCCUACGGAAAUCUUGCGCUCGCUGUAGCGCAAGCACGCGCGGAUCUUCCCACGGCUGUAGCAGGAGCUUCCCGUCCGCCCCGAAUUUUCAGUACAGGUCUCCAGCACCCUCCCAGCACCUCCUGCAGUAGGUGCCCUCACUCCUGCCCUCCCCCGGGUCCUUUCUCCGAGGUUCGGCCUCUGACUCCGCCGGGUGAGGGUUGAGUCUCCUCUAGGCAAGGGCUCCCCUCGAGCGCCGGGUGUUCGCGGGAAAGAGCCACACCACGUUCCCUACAGCCGAGCCAAGAGCCCCACGCCCCCCCCGCCCCGCCCACUCCCAUGGCCGGUUACCUAGGCAAAGCCUCCGCGCCUGGAAACACGUUCCGCCGCUCCCGCUCGCGGCCGCCGGGGCCGGAGCACCGAGCCUUGGGGUUGUAAAUUAGGUAGAAAUAACCACCUCUGUCAAAGCUCCUUUCUUUCUCGUGGGCAGACGAAAGGAACACCCCCAUGUUCCCCUCCCCGUGGUGAAGUGUGUGGAGGAAACCGUGAAACGCACCAUUGUGACCGGGGCUCCUCCGCGGAGUUUCCAACCCUGGGGAGCGGGGGCGGAGGUUGGGCGGGGGCCGUAGGAGUGAAGGAGAGACCGACAGAAAGGGAAAGACAGAGAUUCUCAGAAAGACCGAGGGAGAGGAGACAAACCGCGGGGGAGAAUUUCUGCGAGCGCGCGCGGUCGCGGGGAAGGGAGUGGGUGGGUGNGGUGGCUUGGCCCGAGGAGGCGUCUUUGAUAUUCACGCUAGGAGCACCCCGCACAGCCUGUGGCCUAAGUUUUCUGAGGGAGUUUUACUCAGAGUUUAGGCAGAAGAGAGCCAGCUGCACAUCGCUGUGCCACUGCUACUAUACUACACUGGCUUACUGUUGCAGUUUCGUCUACAGAGACUUCUAGCUGCCCGUAUUGAGUGCUGAGUUCCCUGAGUUACACCAUUCUACUACCU